rnacentral:lncRNA from 1 species
GGUUAGUAUAGAAUAAUGGAUGCAUAUCAGAAUGUAGGAGGUAUAAUUGGGGGGUUAGUAUAGAAUAAUGGAGGUAUAUCAGAAUGUAGGAGGUAUAAUUUGGGGGUUAGUAUAGAAUAAUGGAGGUUUAUCAGAAUGUAGGAGGUAUAAUAGGUGGGUUAGUAUAGAAUAAUGGAGGUAUAACGGAGGGUUAGUAUAGAAUAAUGGAGGUAUAACAGGGGGUUAGUAUAGAAUAAUGGAGGUAUAACAGGGGUUUAGUAUAGACUAAUGGAGGUAUAAUAGGGGGGUUAGUAUAGAAUAAUGGAGGUAUAAUAAGGGGGUUAGUAUAGAAUAAUGGAGGUAUAAUAGGGGGGUUAGUAUAGAAUAAUGGAGGUAUAAUAGGGGGGUUAGUAUAGAAUAAUGGAGGUAUAAUAAGGGGGUUAGUAUAGAAUAAUGGAGGUAUAAUAAGGGGGUUAGUAUAGAAUAAUGAAGGUAUAAUAGGGGGGUUAGUAUAGAAUAAUGGAGGUAUAACAGAAUGUAGGAGGUAUAAUAGGUGGGUUAGUAUAGAAUAAUGAAGUUAUAAUAGGGGGUUUAGUAUAGAAUAAUGGAGGUAUAAUAGAAUGUGGGAGGUAUAAUAGUUGGGUUAGUAUAGAAUAGUGGAGGUAUAACAGGGGGAUAGUAUAGAAUAAUGGAGGUAUAAUAGAAUGUGGGAGGUAUAAUAGGUGGGUUAGUAUAGAAUAAUGGAGGUAUAACAGGGGGGAUAGUAAAGAAUGUAGGAGGUAUAAUAGGUGGGUUAGUAUAGAAUAAUGAAGGUAUAAUAGGGGGGUUAGUAUAGACUAAUGGAGGUAUAAUAGAAUGUAGGAGGUACAGAAUAGAAUAUAGAAUAAUGAAUGUAUAAUAAGGGGGUUAGUAUAGAAUAAUGGAGGUAUAAUAGGGGGGUUAGUAUAGAAUAAUGAAGGUAUAAUAGUGGGGUUAGUAUAGAAUAAUGGAGGUAUAAUAGAAUGUAGGAGGUACAGAAUAGAAUAUAGAAUAAUGAAGGUAUACUAAGGGGGUUAGUAUAGAAUAAUGGAGGUAUAAUGGAGGGUUAGUAUAGAAUAAUGGAGGUAUAACAGGGGGUUAGUAUAGACUAAUGGAGGUGUAACAGGGGGUUAGUAUAGAAUAAUGGAGGUAUAACAGGGGGUUUAGUAUAGAAUAAUGGAGGUAUAACAGGGGGUUAGUAUAGAAUAAUGGAGGUGUAACAGGGGGUUAGUAUAGAAUAAUGGAGGUGUAACAGGGGGUUAGUAUAGACUAAUGGAGGUGUAACAGGGGGUUAGUAUAGAAUAAUGGAGGUAUAACAGGGGGUUAGUAUAGAAUAAUGGAGGUGUAACAGGGGUUUAGUAUAGAAUAAUGGAGGUGUAACAGGGGGUUAGUAUAGAAUAAUGGAGGUAUAACAGGGGUUUAGUAUAGAAUAAUGGAGGUAUAACAGGGCGUUAGUAUAAGAUAAUGGAUGUGUAACAGGGGGUUAGUAUAGACUAAUGGAGGUGUAACAGGGGGUUAGUAUAGACUAAUGGAGGUGUAACAGGGGGUAAGUAUUGAAUAACGGAGGUAUAACAGGGGUUUAGUAUAGAUAAUGGAGGUUUGUAAAGAAACGUUACAGUUGGAGUAAAUGCACCACCUACAUAGAACUAGAUUAGCCAAACAUUCCAAGAUUGAAAAAUGAAGUUGUUACUGAAUAAAAUAAAUAGCAACAAUACAUUUUAUUUGUAUUGCGCUUUUCAAGACACUCAGUGUAUGGGCAUUAGGCAAUAUAUGAAACAAUAAUAGAAGUAGAGACGUGAGAACCAUGGUGUUAUGGACUUUAUUUACACAAUAAAGGCAUCAGCCCCUCUCUCUAAACUGCCUAAAGAGAGGGGCUGCACAGUAAAGAAACUGACCAGCUAUACUGCAACAUACACCAACAUUAAUAAGACAGGGAAUUACAAUCCAAUAUCUACACUGUCCAUCACAACUUUUCAAAAUGGC